UACGUAGGGGGCAAGCGUUGUCCGGAUUUAUUGGGCGUAAAGAGCGUGUAGGCGGCUUGGAAGGUCAGCUGUGAAAACUCGAGGCUCAACCUCGAGACGUCGGUUGAAACCACCUGGCUAGAGUCCGGAAGAGGAGAGUGGAAUUCCCGGUGUAGCGGUGAAAUGCGCAGAUAUCAGGAAGAACACCAACGGCGAAGGCAGCUCGCUGGGACGGUACUGACGCUGAGACGCGAAAGCGUGGGGAGCGAACAGG
rnacentral:rRNA from 1 species